GCAAGUCGAACGGUAACAUAAGAGCUUGCUCUUGAUGACGAGUGGCGGACGGGUGCGUAACACGUAUGCAACAUACCCUCUACAAAGGAAUAGCCCAGAGAAAUUUGGAUUAAUACCUUAUAAUAAUAUGAAUUCGCAUGUUUUCAUAUUUAAAACUUCGGUGGUAGAGGAUUGGCAUGCGUCCCAUUAGAUUGUUGGUGAGGUAACGGCUCACCAAGUCUGCGAUGGGUAGGGGGUCUGAGAGGAUGAUC
rnacentral:rRNA from 1 species